rnacentral:rRNA from 1 species
CCUACGGGAGGCAGCAGUGGGGAAUAUUGCACAAUGGGGGAAACCCUGAUGCAGCGACGCCGCGUGAGUGAAGAAGUAUUUCGGUAUGUAAAGCUCUAUCAGCAGGGAAGAAAAUGACGGUACCUGACUAAGAAGCCCCGUCUAACUACGUGCCAGCAGCCGUGGGAAUACGUAGGGGGCAGGCGUUAUCCGGAUUAACUGGGUGUAAAGGGAGCGUAGACGGCCAGACAAGUCAGAAGUGAAAGGCCAGGGCUCAACCCUGGGACUGCUUUUGAAACUGCCGGUCUCGAGUGCAGGAGAGGUAAGCGGAAUGCCCAGUGUAGCGGUGAAAUGCGUAGAUAUUAGGCGGAACACCAGUGGCGAAGGCGGCUUACUGGACUGUAACUGACGUUGAGGCUCGAAAGCGUGGGGAGCAAACAGGAUUAGAUACCCCAGUAGUC